GACGAACGCUGGCGGCGUGCUUAACACAUGCAAGUCGAGCGAGGCCCACCUUUCGGGGUGGUGUCCUAGCGGCGAACGGGUGAGUAACACGUGGGCAACCUGCCCUCAGCUCUGGGAUAACUCCAAGAAAUUGGGGCUAAUACCGGAUAUGACUGCUGACCGCAUGGUCUGGUGGUGGAAAGAUUUAUCGGCUGGGGGAUGGGCCCGCGGCCUAUCAGCUUGUUGGUGGGGUAGUGGCCUACCAAGGCGACGACGGGUAGCCGGCCUGAGAGGGUGACCGGCCACACUGGGACUGAGACACGGCCCAGACUCCUACGGGAGGCAGCAGUGGGGAAUAUUGCGCAAUGGGCGGAAGCCUGACGCAGCGACGCCGCGUGGGGA
rnacentral:rRNA from 1 species